UAGUAUACCAGCCUAGCUAUAUAUGAACUAGACUGGCAUGCUAUCGGUAGCACGGGGACCUCCGUGCUACCAAGUUGUUUUCAAUGAUGCGCCUUCCAAAUCGAUGAUCGGCUCCGUUAGACUUGAUCUACACUAUUAAAAGUAUUUGAAAACUAAAUUUCAUAAUUUUUCGGCAUCAUUUACCUAUCAAACGAGUAGUCUAAAAAUGAACGGUUGAAAUAAAAAUCUCAUAAAAAAUGAUGAUAAAAUACUUGAAUUUAAGAUCAGAGGUAUUGAUUUUACUCUAAAUAGUGAAAAUAAUUUUCUAUAAAAAUUUCAUCAGAUUUGGAUUAUUUUACACUGUUAAAUUCACAAACGCAUCACAUCUACCAUUAAAAUUGUCAAUUUUGAGACCUGUUGAUCACUAGCCAAAUGAUGUCGAAAAAUUAUAAAAUUUAGUUUCCAAAUACUUUUAAUAGUAUAGAUCAAGUCUAACGAAGCCGAUCGUCGAUUUGGCUAUAUCAAGUCGAAUACAAGUGAGUUGACCGCAGCUCGUGUUCAGCCUGCUAAGAUUUCAAGUGGAAAAAUUCAAUUCGUAUACGGCUCGUUUAUUAAAAAAGAGAUUGAUCUCAAACUCAUUUCGAGUCGAAUUGAUGCAGGCCAAAAGCCACAUUGAGAGAGAAAAAUUGUAAGAACGGAAAGAGAGAGAUACACGAAAAAUCAGUUCUUCGAUAAAGACGAAACUAUUAUUAAUCAACUCUUAAAAUCUUUGAUAAAAUUAACCAAAUACCAUGUCUAUAUAUAAAGGCAAUACCGGAAUUCUACUAUUAAUUAAAUUCCAAAAUUUUAGAAUUUAUUACUUAUAAAAAAAUGUUAAAAAUAUUAAAAAAUUCACUAAAAUAAAAUUACCAAACAUAAAAUUUUGAAAAAUAAUUAAAAUAAAAAUUUAAUCCUAAUUAAUUUUUUUGACGAGAUAAUAUACGAACAACGAGCUAGAUUGCUGGCCAGAGAGAGGGUAUAAAUGGCAUUUUUUUUCUUCUAUAUAAUAUGUCUAGCUACUAUGCUAUCAACAACAGCACCAAGCGUUUGGCACUAUCAAAUUUUCCGUCGUUAUAUCUACUCAUUCGAUUAUUUUCACCCGUUAAAUCAUACUAUUCAACUAACCACUCGUUCAACUCUAGGGAAUCACUAUCAUCCUAACCGCACAUCCCUUCAUCUAAGAACUGAAAACCUAAUAGUAUUAAUGACUUGAUGUUAUUAAUAGUAUAAUAGCCUAGUUCCUAUAUAACUUACCUUUUUAUUAUAGGUAAACUUCAAAUACCACUUCUGUGGUUUCACACUUUCUCACUUUAAUACCCUAUAGUUUAAAGUGUAUCAAGUUAGUGUCCUGUGUUUAUUUUUUGUCAGCUUUUCCGUUAAUAUUUCGUUUAAUUAUAUACAAAAAAACUUCAAAUACCGUACCUAGAUUUAUCGAAUAUUCAUUUUAGUACCCUUUAGUUUUAACUUUGUUACUGAUUUAACGAAAAAAUUACUGGAAUCAAUAAUAAAAAGAUAAAAAUUACUGGAAUCAAUAAUAAAAAGAUAAAAAUGAAACCACAGGGCACUAAAUUGAUACACUUUAAACCACAGGGUAUUAAAGUGAGAAAGUGUGAAACCACAGGGGUGGUAUUUGAAGUUUUUUCUUUAUUAUAUUCAUAAUUUAAUUAAAAAUAAUAAUAAUAAAAAUGUAAAAGAAGAUUGUUAUUCUCACCAGCAGUGACCAUAUUCGCUCUCUGGUAUAUCUGUGGUUUUACACUUUCUCACUUUAGUACCCUGUGAUUUAAAGUGUAUCAAGUUAGCCCCUGUAGUUUCGCACUCUCUCACUUUAGUACCCUGUGGUUUAAAGUGUAUCAAGUUAGUACCCUGUGGUUUCAUUUGUCUCUUUUUAUUAACCAUUUCACUAAUUUUUUUCGUUAAAUCAGUGACAAAAUUAAAAUUAAAGGGUACUAAAAUGAAUAUUCAAUAAACCUAGGUAAGUAUCUGAAGUUUUUUGUAUAUAAUUUAACAAAAUAUUAACGGAGGAAAAAAAAAUCAGUGACAAAGUUAAAAUUAAAAGGUAAGAAAAUAAAUAUUCGAUAAACCUAGGUAAUGUAUCUGAAGUUUUUUGUAUAUAAUUUAACAAAAUAUUAACAGAGGAGCCAACAAAAAAAGAAAAAUAAAAUCACAGAGUACAAAAUUGAUGCACUUUAAAUCACAGAGUACUAAAGUGAGAAAGUGCGAAAACACAGGGUACUAAAUUAAUACACUUUAAAUUACAUAUUACUAAAGUGAGAAAGUGUAAAACCACAGGGUGGUAUUUGAAGUUUUUUUCUUUAUUAUAUUCAUAAUUUAAUUGAAAAUAAUAAUAAUAAUAAUAAUAAUAAUAAUAUGAAUGUAAACGAAGGUUCUUAUUCUCACCUGCGGUGACCAUACUCGCUCUCUGUUAUAAUCCUCCCAAACGUUGCUUUCGGGUCGCGCAUCUUUCCCGGUGAAACCGCUGGUCGAGCACAAAAUGGAAGAAAGCGAGAGUGAGAGGGAGAGAUUAAUUGUAUACAAAACAUAGCGGAUUAUAAAUAUAUUUUUCUAAAAUUUAAGUUUUAUAAAUUGAUAAUAUGAUACCCGCUUCAUUUUAUUUUAUUUAUAAAUAAACUUAGCUGAAAAUGUAAAUCAAUUAGAAUUCAAACUUAGGACCUCGAGUAUCAAUUACUAAGCCCUUUGCCACUUGCGUUAGGGACGGUCGGUAACUUUCAUAAGUUAUCUCUGCAAAAGUUUUAAUAUUUUUAAAUAUAUUCUUCUGUUUUGUUACCGUUAGAGAAUCAUUAGAAAACUGUUUAUAUUUUUAAUUUUGCCAUCACAAAUAUGUCCAUUCAAAAGUUAUAAUAGUAUAAUAUAAGAGGGGUAAAAAUGUCAAAAAUUAAACAAGGUAAAGUGUUUAACAUAUGGCUAACUAAAAUUUUCUAACGGAUUCUAACAAGUGGCAAAGGGUUUGGUGGUUGGUACCCGAGGUCCCAAAUUCGAAUCCUAGUUGCUUCAAAUUACCAGCUAAGUUUAUUUUUAAAUGAAAGAAACGAAGAUGCGCCUCUUAUUUAAGAAGCACAAAAACUCAACUCUUUUUUUCUUCUAGAAUGAGUAAGAGGAAUUUAGUCAUUUUGCUCUAUUUAUUAACGCCAUAAUUUUAUGAAAAUACUUCUUAAAAUUUAAAGGGGCAAAAUAUAAAUUUUUGAAAGUAAAAAAAAAAAGCUUUUAUAUUUUA
rnacentral:lncRNA from 1 species